GAGGGUAUAGCUCAGUGGUAGAGUUGUGUGCCUGGCACGCAUGGGGUCCUGGGUUCAAUCCCCAGUACCUCCA
rnacentral:tRNA from 1 species